AAAUACAGAUGUCGACGCCGAACAACAAAAGUCCAAUUUCAUAUUGCCACAGGUUGAUGCCAACGAAACACAUCAUACAGUGGUAAAUACAGAUGUCAACGCCGAACAACAAACGUCCAAUUUCAAAGCCUUUACACUUUUACAUGUUGAUGCCAAUGGCGAUUGAAUAUUGGCGAUUGAAAUUGAUAAAACUUUAUAUUGUUUUUUACUUAAUAUACUUAUGUACUUUAUA